rnacentral:rRNA from 1 species
AGUUUGAUCCUGGCUCAGGACGAACGCUGGCGGCGCGCCUAACACAUGCAAGUCGAACGAGAGAGAGGGAGCUUGCUUCCUCGAUCGAGUGGCGAACGGGUGAGUAACGCGUGAGGAACCUGCCUCAAAGAGGGGGACAACAGUUGGAAACGACUGCUAAUACCGCAUAAGCCCACGGCUCGGCAUCGAGCAGAGGGAAAAGGAGCAAUCCGCUUUGAGAUGGCCUCGGUUCGAAUAACUUAGUGGUGAGAGAACGGCCCCACAAAGGAAAAAAUCGGUACCCCGAAUUAAGAGGUUAAACGCCCACUUGGGGAUUGAGACACGGCCCAGAUUCCUUCGGGGAGGCACCAGUGGGGAAUAUUGCACAAUGGGGGAAACCCUGAUGCAGCGACCCCGCGUGGAGGAAGAAGGUCUUCGGAUUGUAAACUCCUGUUGUUGAGGAAGAUAAUGACGGUACUCAACAAGGAAGUGACGGCUAACUACGUGCCAGCAGCCGCGGUAAAACGUAGGUCACAAGCGUUGUCCGGAAUUACUGGGUGUAAAGGGAGCGCAGGCGGGCGAUCAAGUUGGAAGUGAAAUCCAUGGGCUCAACCCAUGAACUGCUUUCAAAACUGAUUGUCUUGAGUAGUGCAGAGGUAGGCGGAAUUCCCGGUGUAGCGGUGGAAUGCGUAGAUAUCGGGAGGAACACCAGUGGCGAAGGCGGCCUACUGGGCACCAACUGACGCUGAGGCUCGAAAGUGUGGGUAGCAAACAGGAUUAGAUACCCUGGUAGUCCACACCGUAAACGAUGAUUACUAGGUGUUGGAGGAUUGACCCCUUCAGUGCCGCAGUUAACACAAUAAGUAAUCCACCUGGGGAGUACGACCGCAAGGUUGAAACUCAAAGGAAUUGACGGGGGCCCGCACAAGCAGUGGAGUAUGUGGUUUAAUUCGACGCAACGCGAAGAACCUUACCAAGUCUUGACAUCCUGCGACGAUGCUAGAAAUAGUAUUUUCCUUCGGGACGCAGAGACAGGUGGUGCAUGGUUGUCGUCAGCUCGUGUCGUGAGAUGUUGGGUUAAGUCCCGCAACGAGCGCAACCCUUAUGGUCAGUUACUACGCAAGAGGACUCUGGCCAGACUGCCGUUGACAAAACGGAGGAAGGUGGGGAUGACGUCAAAUCAUCAUGCCCUUUAUGACUUGGGCUACACACGUACUACAAUGGCGUUAAACAAAGAGAAGCAAGACCGCGAGGUGGAGCAAAACUCAGAAACAACGUCCCAGUUCGGACUGCAGGCUGCAACUCGCCUGCACGAAGUCGGAAUUGCUAGUAAUCGCAGAUCAGCAUGCUGCGGUGAAUACGUUCCCGGGCCUUGCACACACCGCCCGUC